GUUCCUCUCUCUAGAAAGCUUCUUCUUCUUCCUCUACCUUCUCUCUAAUCUCCACACUGCACCAUCCAUUGCAUUGUCAUUUAGGUGGCGUCCCCGCGUUCCUAGAGUCGGGAGUUCCGUUUUGAACCGAACGUUUUCUUCAUUCCUACUGGUCCUGUUUGGUUCUCCGCUGUGGGGUCCUGUUUAAAGUAUUCUAGCAAGUUGUACUGCUCAACUUCCAGUAGGUGAUGAUGUACCCUUGGAGCAAGCGUUGGAGAAUGAGGAGGACCCAGCUCCUAGUGCUUAGGAUUUCUACUAGCUAUUAUGUUAAAUAGCUCUUUAUUUUGA